CCCCCUAUGGCCAGCAAGCCUAGGAUGCCACUGUGACUCGGGUCCUGGGGCUGAGAGGCACUGAGAAAAGCCACCGCUGAGCCCAGGGUUACCGAUCAGCAGCUUGCCGGCGAGGUGACUCAGGCCUUUUCAGGGGUGGGGGCGUUGUUAAGAAAAAGAAGAGGAAGAGGAAGCAAGAGAGAUGGCCCAGCAGUCGCAGCCCUUUCUCGGGUGGAAGACCUGGGUUUGUCUCCCAAAACCUAUAGAGUGUCUCACCAUAACCUGAAACUCCAGCAACACCAGGACUUAUGACCUCUGAAGACACCAGGCAGCCAUGGCAUGCAACACACACAUGCAGAUGCACCCCCGCCCCCAUCCUCAGGGCUCAGAGGAAGUCCAUGAAAUGAAAUGCUGGCAGAAUGGAUGCUCCAUGAACACGCAGGUUUUACCUAACAAGCAGAACCUGGAAGCCACUUAUCCCAAGCCCUAGCUAGGCUACAAGAGCUUUCCAUGAGUGUCUGAAACAAAGCUGGCCCAGGACAGAGAGGUAGCUGGCACCGGAAUAAGACCCAGAGAUGAUCCAGAACUAUUCAAGCAUGUUUACAUUUACAAGGGAAGUGAGUAGAAGGUGUUUGCUAUUAACCCUUGCUUACCCAGCAGCCCUCAUGGGUGAGAAGAUGACAGGUCCUUACCCCUCCACCCUCAGCAGAACCCAUAUGCGGCUGUGUUCUUUUCUCUCUGCCUCGCAGGACAGGAGGAGACCCUGUGCCCCAGAAUACAAGUGGAAGCCUAGAACAUGUUUCGAAGACUCGCCAUCUUCUUUCUGGGCAAGGCACUUCACAUCAGCACUUGAGAGGCAGUGGCAGAGGACUGCCUUCAUCUCCACCUUGGAUUACAUAGUGAAUUGGCACCCAGACCCCAGACUCUCACCUUGGACCAUUGCCUAGGUAGAAAUAAGACACCAGAGAGCUCCCUGCCAUGUUCCAGGCCUUCUCAGUAGAACAAAGCUGUACAUUCCCAAGUCAUCUGUGGCAGAGGGGUCACAAAGUCUGUUUCCCUGCUGAUGAGGCAAAGAGGGCCUGGGAUCCAAGCACACAGGAGCAAGAAGCAGGAGGUUUUCAACUUUGAGCGGGAUGAUGCCUGACUUGAAAAGAACAGGACACAGGCCAGCCAUGGUGGUGCACUCCUUUAAUCCCGACCUCAGAAGGCAGAGGCAGAUCUCCAUCUCUGUGAGUUCGUCUCAAAAACAAACAAACAAACAAAACCCAGAAAACGGAGAGUAUGGGAAGGCACAGCCACAGCGUGAGAUGCCGGGCUGUUGUUCUGAAUAAGGUAACCUUGUUAUCUCAGUCCAAGUCUCUGACCACACUGCUCUGGUGAUACCUGGCAACGAGAAACCAUGGAUAAACACUUGGUGAAUUAAUGAAGUAGGAAUGAAUGUGUGGCUUGCUUACAUCCAGACUCUCCAUGAAGUCUUCCUUGUUUCCAGCCCCGACAACCCCAGUGCACCGAAUCUCUAGGAGGAAGGAGGCUGAGCACAGCAGAGAAGAAAGGUGUGGACCAGGUCCUUCAGCAGCCCUGAGAACUGAAAAGAGAGGAAGGCAGACCCUUCAUGAUGGAGACGGACAAGGCUUAUUCCCUGACUGUGUGCAUCUCCUGGAAAUAACUGCAGGAAAGCCAGAGGGAGCCUGUGUCUCUGUGAGUGACCACCAAGCUGUGGAGGCAAGGAAACAUGAGGGGGACAAGGAAAAGCCCACGGUCGCAGAAAGGACAGCUGGAUCUAAGGGAUAUGAGCUGAAAACAGAAGGGGAAGGAAGGGUGGUGUCGCAGAGCUGCUUCGCUCUGGGCUGCAGGGACACAGGAGGAACAAGGCAGGUCUACGUGACCCUUGUCUGUCUAGGGCUACCUCUUACCUGUGCUUCACAUGGCCAAGAGGAGGAAAAUGGACAUACUGGCAUGUUUAACAGGAAAUUGAGAAAGACACCAGAUCAUACAGAGUUGAGAAAACACCAGCCACUUAGCUUGGAAUAAAGACCCGCAAGUAGGAAGGUGGGGUACAAAAGAAGAUUGGGGUGAACCCAGGAGUAGCCCCAUCUCCAGUAGACCUAACCCACAUAUGUUUCCGCCAUACGGUCCCCCAGACCACAGAUGGAGUACUCCAGGCUUCCCAUCCCUGCCUGCUGGCUCUGUUCCUCCAUAGGAGAGUGAACACUGAAAGACAGCAAUGGCUGUCUCUUCCACAGCCUUCCCUGCUGAACCCUCAGGAUAGAUGAAAUUCCGAAGGGAAAGUUAAGGGGUCCCAUCGAGCAUGCCUGCUCAAGGACCCUAGUGUGCUCUGACUUUCCUCCUAACCCAUGCAGGAACGGGCCAUUCUGUAGCCCCCAGGGGGCCUCCACCAGCUCCUCUUCAUGUACCACACUGCCUACAGAAAGGCCCCGUACAAGGGCCGAUGAGAAGCAACCUGAGGGAGCUGUAAAUGUGGAAGAAGCCUGUGGAAGCCUCAAGGAAAUAGUGGCCUGGGGGCACAUCAAAGCCAGGGAGGGUACUGAAACUCCUCUGCCUCUGAACAACUCUCCAACAUGAAACAUUUCAACGUUUUCACAGAGGACUUGGGGUAGAAGUUUUGCUUCCUUAUACCCUUUCUCUGCUAAGGGAAGUCUACACAGGCCUGGUUCUGGGGACCCUUGAAAGCCAGGUCCAGCACCCCCUACCCCCCUAUCUCCAUUUUGCUGACUAUUUAGGGACUUUCCUAGUUGCUAUGAGUCUAGCCUGUCUUGGAUAUAGCCAGCUCUACAGACUGCUGAACAGCUGUGCCUACCCCUCUCCGCCCCCCCCACCCCCCCAGUCCUUCCCUCCAUUCCUGUCCUGGGCCUGCAACAAGGAUACUUUACAUGUAGAUCAAGAGUCUUUUCUCACUCCUCUUAGAUCACUGGGCAGGAAUGGUGGCAUUUGCUGCCUCUGCACAUGGUGGUAACUGGAUCAGCAGAGAGCCCCCCCCACAUCUUCCUACAAGGCCUGCGCCAUCCUGAAAUAGCCUGAAUGUAUGUAUGGUAUCUCCUGGAACAGAAGAAGCCAGCAUUUAAACAUCCUUGGUAUCUUGUUUAUGCUUGGUAGUUACCAACAAGGCAGGUGGGCUCUGGAGAGCCUCAUUCCUUACGAGGGCUCCCGGAUCAACAGCACACAUAGCUUCCGAGACUAGGGGCUGAGGUCAGCACCCACAUAGGCUGCUGCUGCUUGAUGGAUGUCCUUCACACAGCUGAGGUCUGCAGUCACAGGCUGGGCCCAGCUCCAGGACCCUAACCCUAGCCAUUUCCUUUUAUAGUAAGAAAAAAAUGAACCCAGAAAAAUGGUAGGGGCUGCAUGGGCAGACAAGGACCCAGGCGGACUAGGCACCCAGAUAGUCACAAGGGGAAACUAUGAAUCCUUGAGACUGAAUUCUGAAGAGGAAAUCAGGCAGAGUAAAACUCCCACAGGCUUACUGGCCACCCAGCCAGAGGACAGUCCAUUGCCUUCAUCUUCUGUAGUAGUGGCUGCCUGUGCAUUAUGGGAUAUUAUCAAAUGAUGGCAGUGCGCUAGUCACCCACAGGUAGAAUAUGCAUGCCCAUCUAUCCAAUAAGAAGUAAAAAUUAAAUGAUAACUUUAAAUUAUUUCAGUGAAGAAUGCUUUUGAUAUGUUAAAAAAAACUAACUGUGUGUGUGUGUGUGUGUGGUAAAUGCUUGCAGCAAAAUCUUAAGUAAAAACCAAUAUAAAAUUG